UACGUAGGGACCGAGCGUUGUCCGGAUUCAUUGGGCGUAAAGAGCUCGUAGGCGGCCACUCAAGUCGAAUGUGAAACCUCGAGGCUUAACCUCGAGCCUGCAUUCGAUACUGGGCGGCUAGAGUCUGGUAGGGGGAUCUGGAAUUCCUGGUGUAGCGGUGGAAUGCGCAGAUAUCAGGAGGAACACCGGUGGCGAAGGCGGGUCUCUGGGCCGAAAUUGACGCUGAGGAGCGAAAGCGUGGGGAGCAAACAGG
rnacentral:rRNA from 1 species